GGGGGUGAUCUGGUUUCGACGGGUAGAGUGAGGAGUUGUCGGCGUGCCGGGGAUGUCUGGAGCCCCGUUAACAAACCGGGCAAACCAGUAAUUGGCGAAGCUAAUUACGCUCUGGCUGCCUAAGAUAGCGUAGCCCGUUCCCCCCGAACCGUUGUCUCCCGGGUCGGGACGGGAGCGACGCAAAAGGAGACUCGGCGACGCGUGGCCUCGGCGCGGCGCUUAAAGAUAUCGAGGCUGGCGACCGUUUGAGCCUGUCUGUCGGCGCGGGCGGUUGCAAGAAUCAAAAGAGAGACUACGCACGUAGAAGACGGCUUGGCGCUCUAUUCGGACGGGGGUUCGAUUCCCCCCACCUCCAUUU
rnacentral:tmRNA from 1 species